rnacentral:lncRNA from 1 species
CAGGACAAUGAGAUCAAAUGUGUCCAAAAUCAUGUACUAGCGAAGUACUGCUGUAGAGUUUGGUUUGGUUUCUCGUUAAAUUAAACACAAACAGCUCCUUUAGGAGACAUAAUCUUGUGUCUGCUUCCCCAUAAGACAAACAUAAUUAUUACGAUGCAACUAGGUAAUAUCAAAACCACAAACACAAAGUACUGGUUUGGUUUCUCGUUAAAUUAAACACAAACAAAGCUAGCAUUGAUGGAAGUUCUCAAACCAGAUCAAUCACUACCUUAACUUAAACGAAACAAACUUAACUAAAUCAAAGCAAAGGGUUAUGAAACGAGCCAAAGUUUUAUACGAAACAAACUUAAGACACGAACACAAACUUGCAGUUUAUGAAGCAAAGCAAACAGCGAUUAUGAACACAAACAGCGAUUAUGAAGCAAAGCAAACACAGACGCGAACACAUACAGCGAUUAUGAACACAAACAGCAAUCUUUUAUAAACAUCAAAAUACCAAACAAAAGACACGAACACAAACAGCGAUUAUGAAGCAAAGCAAACACAAACACGAACCAACACUUAGAAAGUUAGAAUCGAUCUUUACCUGAGAUGUGU